UCCGUGCUCGUCGGCCCCUCAGCGGAACCGGGCACCUCACCGCAAGCGUUCCGGAUGAGGGACCCGAGUUGGUGCAGCCGGAAGGAUGGUCCCGAACUGUGGGAGAGGCGCUGCCGGGCGUUCCCGCGGUUCCGCCUCAGCGGUUGGUCUUUUGAUGCUGGUGCUCACUCUCCGCCAGCAAGUCCAGCCAUCCCUAAACGAGUCCCGAAUCCCUGCAGUCGUCUCCACCUCCUUCCUCACUCUCCUCCCCUGGACCCACCUUGUUCCCCCCGAUCUGAGCCCCGCACAGCUGCCAGCUUCCCCCCGACAGAGACCUGCCCAGGAUAAAGUGUGGCGCUGAGGAGGCUGGGCCUAGCUGGCUACAGGGACUGGUGUGGGGUCCACCCAGGGCUGUUUGCGAGGCCUGCAGGGCCUGAGGGUCGCUCCAGCGUGUGGUCUCUCAAGGUGGUGGUGUCCUGCCCGGGUUGAGCUCCUGCAGCUGCACCAGGCCCGACAGCCCCGUGGUGGUCAGCAGCGGGCAGCCUGCGGCGGGCGGGAGGCGAGGCGGCGGCUGAGUGCGGGGGCCGGCGGAGCUCGCCCGGCGUCUCCCUCCGGACCGGGCCCUGGGACCCGGGGAGUCAGCCC